rnacentral:rRNA from 1 species
GGUGAACGCUGGCGGCGUGCCUAAUACAUGCAAGUCGAGCGAACAGACGAGGAGCUUGCUCCUCUGACGUUAGCGGCGGACGGGUGAGUAACACGUGGAUAACCUACCUAUAAGACUGGGAUAACUUCGGGAAACCGGAGCUAAUACCGGAUAAUAUAUUGAACCGCAUGGUUCAAUAGUGAAAGACGGUUUUGCUGUCACUUAUAGAUGGAUCCGCGCCGGAUUAGCUAGUUGGUAAGGUAACGGCUUACCAAGGCAACGAUGCGUAGCCGACCUGAGAGGGUGAUCGGCCACACUGGAACUGAGACACGGUCCAGACUCCUACGGGAGGCAGCAGUAGGGAAUCUUCCGCAAUGGGCGAAAGCCUGACGGAGCAACGCCGCGUGAGUGAUGAAGGUCUUCGGAUCGUAAAACUCUGUUAUUAGGGAAGAACAAAUGUGUAAGUAACUAUGCACGUCUUGACGGUACCUAAUCAGAAAGCCACGGCUAACUACGUG